rnacentral:lncRNA from 1 species
UGCAAUGGAGACCAAAUUAUUAUCAUCCUGAUUUUUAUAGAUGAAGAAAUGGAAGGUGGGCACAGUAGCAUGUGCCUGUAAUCCCAGCUACUUGGGAGGCUGAGGCACAAGGUUCACUUGAGCCCAGGAGUUCGAGCUGUAAUGAGCCAUGACUGCACCUGUGAAUAACCACUGCACUCCAGCCUGGGCAACACAGCAAGACCCCAUCUCUAAAACAAGAAAAGAAAUGGAGGCUCGGAGUGACUAAGUCACUUAACUGUCCCAGGUUGGGCUCCUCAGCAAGGAGACUCCAGGGUUAGUAUGCAGUGUGUUCCUCAGGGGGUGCCCUUGAGAUGAUACCCUUGGAAGAGAGGGGAGCAGGAGCCCUAAAGGAGAUGGCCUGUGCCCCUCCGUGGAAGAACAGUGGCCUCAGCAGUGACAACAUUCUGAGUCCUUGGCCUGGGGUAAAAUCAAAUCUGUGUGUCCCUCGUAACAUGCUCAGUGGUGACGACCACCCCAAGACCAAGCACACAUGCCCCAGAACAAAGCCAAGCAUUCCAGUAGCCCCACUUCAUCCUGCUAACCAUGCACACUCUCCAUCCACUUUUUCUCUAAAAAUUAAUUUUUGAGAAUUUUUUUUUUGAGAUGGGAUCUCACUGUGUUGCCCAGGCUGGAGUGCAGUGUGUUGCCCAGGCUGGAGUGCAGUGGCAUGAUCAUAGCUCACU